rnacentral:rRNA from 1 species
UACGAAGGGGGCUAGCGUUGCUCGGAAUGACUGGGCGUAAAGGGCGCGUAGGCGGUUUGGACAGUCAGAUGUGAAAUUCCUGGGCUCAACCUGGGGGCUGCAUUUGAUACGUUCGGACUAGAGUGGGGAAGAGGGUCGUGGAAUUCCCAGUGUAGAGGUGAAAUUCGUAGAUAUCGAGAGGAACACCGGUGGCGAAGGCGGCCUUCUGGACAGCAUCUGACGCUGAGACGCGAAAGCGUGGGGAGCAAACAGG